rnacentral:ncRNA from 2 species
CUCUUAUCCAGAGAGGUGGAGGGACUGGCCCUGUGAAGCCUCGGCAACCUGGAAACGGGUUCGUAAGCGUAAUCCGUUUUUAAGGUGCUAACUCCUGCAGACUGGGAAGGCAUCGCCUUUCCGCAAAAGGUUUCUGAAAGAUGAGAG